AUUGAACGCUAGCGGGAUGCUUUACACAUGCAAGUCGAACGGCAGCGCGGACCUCGGUCUGGCUGCGAGUGGCGAACGGGUGAGUAAUGUAUCGGAACGUGCCCAGUAGCGGGGGAUAACUACGCGAAAGCGUAGCUAAUACCGCAUACGCCCUACGGGGGAAAGCAGGGGAUCGUAAGACCUUGCACUAUUGGAGCGGCCGAUAUCGGAUUAGCUAGUUGGUGAGGUAACGGCUGACCAAGGCGACGAUCCGUAGCUGGUGUGAGAGGACGAUCAGCCACACUGGAACUGAGACACGGCCCAGACUCCUACGGGAGGCAGCAGUGGGGAAUUUUGGACAAUGGGGGGAACCCUGAUCCAGCCAUCCCGCGUGUGCGAUGAAGGCCUUCGGGUUGUAAAGCACUUUUGGCAGGAAAGAAACGUAGCGGGCUAAUACCCCGUGGAACUGACGGUACCUGCAGAAUAAGCACCGGCUAACUACGUG
rnacentral:rRNA from 1 species